rnacentral:rRNA from 1 species
AACGAACGCUGGCGGCAUGCCUAACACAUGCAAGUCGAACGAAGUCUUCGGACUUAGUGGCGCACGGGUGCGUAACGCGUGGGAAUCUGCCCUUUGGUACGGAAUAACUCAGGGAAACUUGUGCUAAUACCGUAUGAUGUCUUCGGACCAAAGAUUUAUCGCCAAAGGAUGAGCCCGCGUAGGAUUAGCUAGUUGGUGAGGUAAAGGCUCACCAAGGCGACGAUCCUUAGCUGGUCUGAGAGGAUGAUCAGCCACACUGGGACUGAGACACGGCCCAGACUCCUACGGGAGGCAGCAGUGGGGAAUAUUGGACAAUGGGGGCAACCCUGAUCCAGCAAUGCCGCGUGAGUGAUGAAGGCCUUAGGGUUGUAAAGCUCUUUUACCCGGGGACGAUGAUGACGGUACCCGCAGAAUAAGCCCCGGCUAACUUCGUGCCAGCCGCCGCAGUAA